rnacentral:tRNA from 2 species
UUCAGACCGGAGCUAUCAACCACUCAGCCAUCUCUCC